AGAGUUUGAUCAUGGCUCAGGGUGAACGCUGGCGGCGUGCUUGACACAUGCAAGUCGAACGGUAUGUGGCAACACAUAGAGUGGCGAACGGGUGAGUAACACGUGGGAACGUACCAUCUGCAGGGGGAUAACUGACCGAAAGGACAGCUAAUACCGCAUAAGUCCGGAAGGAGAAAGGUGCAAUAGCAUCGGCAGAAGAGCGGCCCGCGGUCCAUCAGCUAGUUGGUGAGGUAAGGGCUUACCAAGGCGACGACGGAUAGCCGGCGUGAGAGCGUGGCCGGCCACAAGGACACUGAGAUACGGGUCCUACUCCUACGGGAGGCAGCAGUGCGGAAUUUUAGAUAAUGGAGGGAACUCUGAUCUAGCGACGCCGCGUGCAGGAAGAAGGUCUUCGGAUUGUAAACUGCUGUGGUAAGGGAAAAAUGCUAUGUAGAGUGGAAAGCUACAUAGAGGGAUGGUACCUUACUAGAAAGCCCCGGCUAACUACGUGCCAGCAGCCGCGGUAAUACGUAGGGGGCGAGCGUUACCCGGAAUCACUGGGCGUAAAGGGAGCGUAGGUGGCCUAACAUGUCAACUGUGAAAACCCGGAGCUCAACUCCGGACUUGCAGUUGAAACUGGUAGGCUUGAGGACGGUAGAGGAAGACGGAACUGCCAGUGUAGGGGUAAAAUCCUUAGAUAUUGGCAGGAACGCCGGUGACGAAGGUGGUUUUCUGGGCCGGUUCUGACACUGAUGCUCGAAAGCCAGGGGAGCGAACGGGAUUAGAUACCCCGGUAGUCCUGGCCCUAAACGAUGUUCACUAGGUGUGGGGAGCGGAAAGCCCUCCGUGCUAAAGCUAACGCGAUAAGUGAACCGCCUGGGGAGUACGCCCGCAAGGGUGAAACUCAAAGGAAUUGACGG
rnacentral:rRNA from 1 species